CGGACGGCGCACCUCCUUUUCCGCGCGGCAGCCGAGGGAGGAAGGUUCGGGAAUAACUGCUACCUAUGCGGGUGGGCGGGAAGACCUGCUAGCUUUGCGGGUGGGAAAGCGGCUGAGCCUGCCAGUCGGUACCUGGGCUCUUGGAGGUGAGAGCCAUUGCGGUCUUUGUUCCUCCUCUUCUACGUGCCGGGCUCUCGCUUCGUGGGUACCGAGCGCCGCGCCGCCUUGCUCCAGCCCAGCCGAGGCAGCCGGCGCCGCAGGUUUGGCCCAGGAGGCGACGCUCCCCGCGCGGUCAGGGGCCACCAGCCCUCCGGCCACCUGAACGGGCGCGUUUGUGAGCAACCACCUGGAAGUCUUAGCGCAGCCUACUCCGUAAGCGCUGAUUUUGACUGUGAGCCCAGAAGUUAGUAUAAAGGGCCUUGCCUGACUCGGGAACCCAAGGUGCCUGAAAGGAACGGCCAGGGAGAUGGGUGUUUCCGGACGUGCAUCAGUCAACUGCGGGAAGACUGGACAACAUGCUGCCAAUUCAAAAACUUAAAAAUGGUCUGACAAAUCCUAUGAGUUUUGAAGGUGUGUGAAGGUCAUUGUGACAGAUGUUUUCCAAAAGAAAAUGGCAAUGAAAAAGUAGAACCACCACUGCAUAUAUUGAGCACAUAGGUAGCUGCAGAUGGAUGUCCUUUAGCUGCAGUUUUUUGAAAUACUCCUUUGUUGCCUCAGAGGUGUGCCAUGCAACAUUAUGGAAGAAAGAACGAAGACUGCAAGAAAACAGAUGAACAGAAGCAAAUGAUGAAAAUGAAUAUUUUACUUGGUUUAACUAACUUCAUAAUAAAUGAUAUAGAAAAUAAAUGUAGGAAUGAAGAAAAAAAGAUGUCCUCAAGUCACUUAUUCAUCACUAGAGAAGAUACCUGUCCCUGGUCCAUAUGUGGCAAUAAACUGUUCAAGCUGUCGUUGGCACUGAGUCAGAAGCUUCAAAGAAAAUUAAAUACAUAAGAAUAUGCCUAAAAAAAGAGGUGAAGGACCUCUACAAAGAGAAUUAUGAAACCUUAAGAAAAGAAAUAACAGAAGACAUUAACAAACGGAAGAACAUACCAUGCUCUUGGCUGGGAAGAAUCAACAUUAUUAAAAUGUCUAUACUUCCCAAACAAUCUACAGAUUCAAUGCAAUUCCCAUUAAAAUACCAACAUCAUACUUUGAAGAAGUGGAAAAAAUAGUUCUUCAUUUCAUAUGGAACCAGAAAAAGAAACCAUAUAGCCAAGGCAAUUUUUAGUAAUACAAACAAAGUUGGAGGCAUCAGUCCACCAGACUUUAGGCUAUAUUACAAGUCCACAGUGAUCAAAAAAGCAUGAUAUUGCACAAAAAUAGAGACAUUUGGAACUGGAUAGAAAACCAAGAGAUUAAACCAGUCUCUUAUAGCCAUUUGAUCUUUGUUAAACCAAAUAGAAGCAUACACUGGGGAAAAGAAUCCCUCUUAAUAAAUGAUGCUGGGAAAACUGGAUAACCACAUGUAAAAGACUGAAACUGGACCCACAUGCUUCACCACCUAAAAAAAUUGAUUCAAGAUGGAUAAAAGAUUUAAAUAUAAGACAUGGAAUGAUAAAAAUCCUAGAAGAAAGUGUGGAGAAAACUCCUGAGGAUGUCGGUCUGGGGAAAGAUUUUAUCAAGAAGAUUUCCAUAGCAAUGGCGAUAACAAAAAUAAACAAAUGGAACUUAAUUAAAUUGAAAAGCUUCUGCACAGCUAAGGAGAUAACAAGCAAAUCAAAUAGACAACCUUCAGAAUGGGAAAAGAUUUGCAUGUUACAAAUCUUACAAAGGUUUAAUAACUAGAAUCUUUAGAGAGCUCAAAUUAAUCAACAGAAAAAGAAUCCCAUCUCUCACUGGGCAAAAAACAUGAGCAGAACCUUCUCUGAAGAAGACAGAUGAAUGGUUAACAAAGGCAUGAAAAAAUGCCCAUCAUCCAUAAUCAUCAGAGAAAUGCGAAAGAAAAUCAACCUGAGGUAUCACCUAACCCCAGUGAGAAUAGUCCACAUCACAAAGUCCCAAAGUUGCAGAUGCUGGUGUGGGCAUGGAGGGAGGGGAACACUUUUACACUGUUGGUGAGUCUACAAACUCACAUCGCCUCUUUGGAAAGAAGUAUGGAGAAUCCUCAAAGAACUCAAAUUAGACUUCUCAUUUGACCCCACAAUCCCAUUCCUAGGUAUCUACUCAGAAGAAAAAAUCAUUUUAGUAUAAGGAUAUUUCCACUGGAUUGUUUAUAACUCAAUUUGCAAUUGCCAAGAUGUGGAAAUGACCUAAAUGUCCAUCAACUCAGGAAUGGAUUAACAAACUGAGGUAUAAUGUAUACUAUGGAAAACUAUUCAGCCAUAAAAUGAUAGUGACUUUACAUCUUUUGUAUUAACCUGGAUGGAGUUGAAACAUAGUCUUUCUACUAAAGUAUCACAAUAAUGGAAAAACAAAUAUCCAAUGUACUCAAUGCUAAUAUGAAGCCAGUAGACCAUCUAAUUCACACCCACAGAGGAGAAAAACUCAUUUCAAUUCAAGUUGAGGGAAGUGAGAAUGAAGGAAAGGGGAGAGGAAAGGAGGGGGGCUUCGGAAGCUCCCAAUUAAUGGGCAUGACAUAGUGGUAUAAGGCACAUUUGGGUGCAGGACACAAGUACGAGAGGGACUCUGCCUAACAAAUUCAAAUAUGACCUAGUUGUUUGUAUCGCCACAUUAACCUGAAAUAAUAAAAUAAAGGUGAUUGAAUUUAAGCUGACAAAAAAAAUCAGAAUGCAAUACCCCCCUCACACCCAUACAAUGGCUAUUGUAAAAAUAAAAAGGAAAUGAUAAGUGUUGACAAGGAUGUAGAAAAAUUGGAACUCUUAUGUAAUGUUGGGAAUGUAAAAUGGUACACACACGACGGAAAACAGUUUGGUGGUUCAUCAACAAAAUUAAACAAUUUCCAUGAUCCAGUAAUUUCACUUACAGGUAUAUACGCAAAAGAUUUGGAAGCAAAAUCUCAAAGGGAUAUGUAUGUGUAUCUGCACAUUCAUGUUCCUAGCAGUAUUACAAGGUGUAAGCAACCAAAGUGUUCAUUGACAAAGGAAUAAACAAAAUAUGGACAAAAUGUGGUAUAUAUGUAUUAUUAUUAAGUAAUAGUACUCACACAAUAUAGAUGAACCUUGAGAACAUUAUGUUACAUGAAAUAACCCAGUCACAAAAGGACAAAUAUUACAUGAUUCCACUUAUAUGAGGUACCUAAGAAUGGUCAAAUUCCUAGAGACAGCAGAAUGAUAGUUGCCAGAGGCUAGGUAGAUGUGGAAAUGGGGAGUUGGGGUUUAAUGGAUACAAAGUUUUAGUUUGGGAAGAUAAAAAACUUAUGGA